UACGUAGGGUGCAAGCGUUGUCCGGAAUUAUUGGGCGUAAAGAGCUCGUAGGCGGUCUGUCGCGUCGGAUGUGAAAAUCCAGGGCUCAACCCUGGACCUGCAUUCGAUACGGGCAGACUAGAGUUCGGCAGGGGAGACUGGAAUUCCUGGUGUAGCGGUGAAAUGCGCAGAUAUCAGGAGGAACACCAAUGGCGAAGGCAGCUCGCUGGAACGGUACUGACGCUGUGGCGCAAAAGCGUGGGGAGCAAACAGG
rnacentral:rRNA from 1 species